GAGUGUGAGGGUAGGUACAGGGAAGUGUACCACCAGUAGCUGGUUCAGUGUGACUCUGCCAUCAGUGGUGACAACACUACGCUGCUGCUGCUGACCACUGCUGCCACCACCAUUACCAUCACAAUCAUCAAACCAGCAGAUAUGCCCACUCCCAAGGAGUUCUUCACUAUGGCGGCGCUGUGCCUGGCCUCUGCCUUCGCUUUUUUCUGUUGAUCCUAUCUUGCCUGUUUUAGCGUAUUCAACAGUAACGUGUGGCGUCCUUCCCUGUGACCAUCCUCUCCUGGUGUGUGGUGACCUGUUGCUACCAGAGGGCCAGCACACACUCGCCAUGCUUUAAAUACCAACAAUGUCCUCAAGAUACCACGUGGAGGAAAUAAGGCAGGAAGCAGCAAUGCAGUGCCGAUGACACAAGUGGAAGAUGCCAAGCGGUGGUGCAGUAUUUGAUCUUUCUACUGCAGAAUUGUGAUAGAAACUACAAUAAGUACCUUUAACCACAUAUAUAUAGAUAUAUAUACACACGUAUACAAUACUGUAUUGACAUCAUGGAUAACGAUAUAUAUUAUACCUAUAUUGUGCAGGUUUUAACUGCUAUACUAUAUAUGUUUUUAAAAAACAGAUUCAAGAAUAGGGCUACAUGACCCUUCAGGGUUUAGCACUUCCCAUAAUUAUAAAAACACACUAAAGUUAAAAUCCAACUGAAGUUUGACACACAUACCUAGAAAAAGCUAAUUCAUUAUGUCACAAGGUGUUCCACGGUGUACAGUGUUACUAUAUAUUGUUGCAGAAUACAGUAACUUGGUGGGUAUGGAGUCCACUCAUAAUCCAGGUGUAUUAACUACUGCCAGUCUAUGUCCAGAGCUUUAAUGUAUUCCCCUUUAUUUUGUGUAUCGAAUGUGCGUACUGUGUAUGAUAAUGGUGGUUUUUGUCUCGUAGUUAUUGUCCUCGACCUCAUUUUUUUUGUUCAAUUUACCUUGUAUGUUCAUAAUAAAUGUUUAGACUUGUAAA